AGUGAACGCUGGCGGUAGGCCUAACACAUGCAAGUCGAACGGCAGCACAGUAAGAGCUUGCUCUUACGGGUGGCGAGUGGCGGACGGGUGAGGAAUACAUCGGAAUCUACUUUUUCGUGGGGGAUAACGUAGGGAAACUUACGCUAAUACCGCAUACGACCUACGGGUGAAAGCAGGGGAUCUUCGGACCUUGCGCGAUUGAAUGAGCCGAUGUCGGAUUAGCUAGUUGGCGGGGUAAAGGCCCACCAGGGCGACGAUCCGUAGCUGGUCUGAGAGGAUGAUCAGCCACACUGGAACUGAGACACGGUCCAGACUCCUACGGGAGGCAGCAGUGGGGAAUAUUGGACAAUGGGCGCAAGCCUGAUCCAGCCAUACCGCGGGGGUGAAGAAGGCCUUCGGGUUGUAAAGCCCUUUUGUUGGGAAAGAAAAGCAGCAGGUUAAUACCCCGCUGUUCUGACGGUACCCAAAGAAUAAGCACCGGCUAACUUCGUG
rnacentral:rRNA from 1 species